ACAUCUCUGGGCUCUCUGCUCAGAUGUCUUCAAGCUGACGGUGUGAAUCAAGAGGUCCCCCGGCUCCUUCCACUGACCUCUGACCUCAAGCUGCCCUUUUCCUCACAUGGAGCUCAGAGAAAAGGGGGAUAUGAUAGUGUAGAGAUGCUCAGGGAACCACAACAAUCAAUUCAUCCAAACUUAAAUUAAAAAAUGUGAUCAUAUCAUCUCAACAAUAUGGACCAACAUCUCUGAGGAAUGUUUCCAACACCUUGUUGAGUCCAUGCUACGAAGUUCUGAAGGUAAAAGGGGGUCCAGUCCGGUACUAGCAAGGUGUACCUAUAAAGUGGUUGGUGAGUGUAUACAUACAUACUUUUCUUCCCUUUUUUGAUUAAAACAGUGGCUACCGACCCAAGUUGUGACUGUUAGCCAGAUGUCUGUGAGUUGUUAGCAGCAAAGAGACGUCUCUCCUUAAAACCUCUCAUUGCAUUAUCUGUCUGUUGGCCAAAUAAAUAGGAUUCUUUCAUUUUGAAAUACUUGUGAGGUAUCAGAAAUUGUUUCCUUUUCCCAAAUCUCUAAUCUGACUACACCUGCGGUUGAUCUCGUGGCAGUUUGGAGGAGCCUCUUUGCAGGGUGGAGUGUUUGUAGUCUACCAUAUUUAUGUAUUAGAGGGUUAACUCCAUUUUAGACACAUACCGAACCAAAUGACCACAUCGUCAUCACUUGCAACAAAAAUGGAUGGUAUGCAGUCGGCUAUAAGCUUCACAGACGUCAGAGUUAUGGCAGGACUGUUUGUCUCCUGUGUUUGCUCUCGCCUGUCGUGUAGCAUUGUUCUGAACAAAGACAGAAAUAGUUUGACUUCCUUCUCAGCACCUCUUAAUCAUCAAUGAUCAUUCAUGGGUCACGAGAAGAUUGUCCGUGUGCUGUGACCUGUGACCUCUUGGUCUCCUGACUACUGAUUGUCUGCAUUCUUGCUGGUCUGGCCAACUGGACGACAGAGAAUCAUCGAAAUCCUUCAAGUUUAGCUUGUAGGAUGUCGCUUUUGUUUUUCUCCCCGUUCAAAGAUCACAUGGCAAUGGAUCUAAGACAUGAGGUGAGGGAACUGGGUCUCUGUCUCCAUCGGGCCGCUAGCUGGAAGUGUGUUGAUCUGAAAGCAAUCGGUGAUGUUGUGAAGCUUUGCGUCCUGCCAGCGUUAAGCAUCUCGCACAGAGGUCAUAAUGCAUCACAGUACGCAGAACCUCAUGUGGUUUGGUCAAAGUCCACAAUUGCCAGCAAAAACAUGGACAAAAAUUACACAUCAAAUUAAGAUUAUCAACAUUUUUUCUUUUUAUUUAUAAAAGUCAGUUUAAAAUGCAUCAUCGGCUUGGAAUCUAUUCUCUAAACACAGUAUGAAGGAAAGUGCCAAAUAAUUAUACUGCUUGUUAUUUUAAAGCUUGAGUCACGUGGAUGUACAGUUAUUUAGGGGAGAGACUACAGAGUUUAAUGAAAAUGGAAUGCAAGUGUAUCUAAGAAGACAUUUGGAUUCCUAAAUCCGUGCAGUCUAGAGGGGAAAUGUGAUGUAGGUAAAUCAGUUCAAAGCUCAAACGCAUCUCUAAUUGUGGCACAUUGAGGCAUUGAGCUGAAUUUCUUUGAGUUUAUUUACAUAUGAUUGGCUUCAUAGGCCUUCUUUUUAGUGAUGUUUAUAACAGCAUUAGCGGCACGUAUUUCACAUGAUUACAUAUGAAAGCCUUUACUUGCAUUGAUGGCUCAUGCUUGUUGCCUUUGUGUUCAAAGUUCAUCUGGAUUUUAAGUUUCUGUGUGACCGUCCGCUGUCCUGCUCUUAUAAUAGGACACUAGGACACAAUGUCUCAUAUAAAUAAAUGAUAUUGUCAAAAACGCCCAGAUGUAAAUCCAUGAUGUGAAACAAAGGAAUCUUAAUCCAAAAAACAGCAUCAGUUUUGUAUUUUGGUUGAGUGCAAAAAGAGUUUCUCCAUUUAGAUGUCUUAUAUAAUGGAAGGCUGUAAUCUGUUAUAUAAUAACUGAGUAGUGAAAUGGACUCUGCUUCCACUGGUGGGUUCCAGCAUUUUUUUCUUGCUGAGCCCAUCUGUAAGACAGCAACACAUUUGAGUUAAAAUACAAAUAUUCCCUACGUAAUGUUAAAUGACCCUUAUUUCUGGCUUUAGCCUUUGCUACAGACAUGGUGGAUAUAUAGUUUCAAUGUCAAUCCUCACAAUGCUGUUGCUAUGAAAUGAAGGCAAAAUGCGCAAUAAAAAAAAAAUCUUUAGCUUACUUUGGUGGCUGUAUGCAAAGCAAUGUACAUUUUAAAAUAUAGUACUUAUAUGACUAAGUUUGGACUGAUAAUAAAGAAAAAAAUAUGUGUACAAUCAGCUAGCAAAUGUAUCAAAUGUAUUAAAAAGAUCGCUGAUAAACAUACAAUAUAAAAAUGCAUAUAAAUAUAUAUGGUAUAUAUGCAUUUUUAUAUUGGGUUUCAAAACGAAGAUAAAGUGAGAAAACAGUCACGGUUUCAGGAGAAAAAGGAUGUGAGAGGAGAAGGAAGAGGCCUCCAACCCUGCAGACUGUCAGCUCCAUUCAAACCACCAGCGCCUCUUUUUCACCUGCAUGCUGCUCUGAUGAUGAAAUGUCCCCUUCAUCAUCAAGAGAAAGUUUAUGAACAAAUAUUUCUUUUCAGACUUGGCGUCGGUGGGGAAAAGCUAUUCUUCCUCAUCAGUCUGAGUCACAUUCUGUCAUAAACGGCCUGAACUGCUGGUGUACGCGCUGUUUCUCUGUGCUGAGGAUAUUUUUGGCUCUGCAAUGUGGCAAACACAGAGAUUCACUCAGAAACAGAGAGAGAGACAGAGAGAUAAAGAGAGAGAGAGAGAGUGAUGGCUGUCACGGGGAGAGAGAGAGACAGAGCCUCACACAGCUCCCCCGGCAGGCAGUGUGUGAGAUCUGGGGCCCUGGGGCCCUUUGGAUGGCUCAGGCUGAAUGGGUGCCCUGGCGAGGUGACCAGGCUCAUUGAGAACAGGUUACGAGGGGAAGGGAAUGCUUUUACUGCGCGUUUGGCCCCCUGACCCACUAUGCAACGUCUGCCUUGGCAGCUUUGAAACCCAACAUAUUUAUUUGCAACGCUCUGAAGAGAGAGGGUGGAGCGGCUGUCAGAAUAAAGUCAUCGUCCUGCUGACAGCUUCAUCUGCUGUUGAAGGGCAGCUAUGACAGGCGCACAAUGUCGCUGCGUCGGCCAGCCCUGGGCGAAGGACUGUCAUCUGUGGACAUGCUGGGAAUCUCGCAAACCGUGUCCCCUCCCUCCCCUCUCGCAAGCUCCCUUGAUGCGUCAGACUUAUUUCUUUGGCCCCGUAAGAAAUGUUUUUCAUCUCAGGGUACGUGGAUGUCAACUGGGUAAUGGGUGGGAAUUCUCCAUCUCCAUUGGAUGUGCUGAGCUUUUAUCAUAAUGACGGAGGGAGAAUAUGAAGCAGAGCUGUUUGUGUAAGAAAAUAAACAUUUUUUUAGAAAUAUACAAAUACGUGGUCAUGCAUUUAGUCAAUGCUACAGAUUUGUAUACAGUAUUGUAUACCAAUAUGAUCCAGUCCUUCUUGACAAAGUUGAGAAUGACAUCGAAAAAUGUUGGUUCACUGAGGAACCAUGGCAAAUAUAUCCCUCUAAUAUAUAUACAACAAUAAUGUAAAUAGAAGGUAUAGAAAGUAAAUCUGAUAGCAAUGCAACCUCUGUGCACAGGCCCUGUGCAGGUAAUUGACUCAGCUACGCUCCGGCGGUUUAAGCAGCGGUGCUGUAACCAACUAGCAUCAUGCUAAUGUGCACAGGGGACACCCAGCAUCCCUUCCUAUCAAUAAGUAAUUAUCUGAGCCCCGCCACUGAUGGGCGUCCUGCAGUUAUCUCUGCAGCUCACACAAAGAGGAUGGAGGGAAUGCCGGGAUGCUGGAAUGCUGCCCAGGUAUGAGGUGUUAGUCACGCCACAGACAAGCACAAGCAACACGAAAGGAUGUUGGGACUGCAAGUAGGUCCCCCAACCCCAAUAAAAGUGCAGUUUGACAUUCGCACUAAAAUUAUCCAAAUACUGGCGCUCUAAGAGAUUCAAAGUAUUACAGUUACGUUUAAAGAAAUAUGCUAUAUUAUUUGUAUUAACCUUUUCAAACUUCACACUAAAUUGACCCAUUUAGGUAUCCUGCUUGCUAAUACUGUAGCUGAUAAUGGCAAUGAAAAGGUUUAAGGUGUAUUUAUAUAAUAUUAAACUACUAUAAUAUGUAGCAAUAUGUUUUCUAAAGUCUUGUAUCUAUUUGUGGCAUUAAUUACCCCCCAUAUAGCUCACAAUAUUGCCACAAAAUCUCUAAGCACCUUCGUCUCAGAUUACCGUAAACAAUAGCAAAAGCAAGCGUGCUAAUGGUGAACAUAAUUAUCCCGGACAAAAGGCCAAACACCGCAAAUCACGUUUUACAGCGGGAGUGAGCAGAAGGCGACGUCUGGGCUGCAGCCAGUGAGACGGGAGAGAUAUUUCACUGCAGAUAUCCAUCUAGCGCCUGCAUCACAUUUCAUUAUUGGGGUCAACAGGAAGCCAGACUCCUUUUACAGCCUAGUACACAACAUGACAUUGUUUCUGUCGGAACAAUGUUUAUGACAGCACAUGGCAGCAAAGCGAUACGUCUGCAUGUGAGGAGAGCGUGGACACCGUGUCUGUAAAGAUUUGUACAAAUCUGUGCUGCAAAAAAUAUUUAAAUGAGGAAAAUACUUUACAAUUACAGAUUCAGAUCAAAAGUGUAAAAGGCCGUGUUUAAGAUAUGUUUUCAUUUCAUUUUAUUUGAUCCCCUGUUUCAUCCCUAACCCUGUGUUUUUCAUUAGGCACAUUUCAGUCGGCACCACAGCAAAUAACUCCCUUCUGAUGGAGAUGUUAAAUGAGGUAGACAAGGCUUAAACCCUCCACUGCCUCCGUAACUGGCUCGCCACUCUCUCGCUCUCUAACACAUUGUUGUGGGGAGGAGGGUUAACUAUCAGCCAUAAUGUGUAACUGAAGAUCAGCUCCCCCCUCCGGCUCCACUCCUCACACCACCCCACCCUCGACCCCCAUGCCAGCCCUCCCUCCCUCCCCCGCCGACAUCCCCCGAUGCCGUUGUUGGGGUGGUCUCGGCCUCUGCUGUCACCAAGCCGCGGGUCUUUCAGCCGCUCCCCAAACCCCUCCCUGUUCUUUUUUUCUUCUUUCUGCCGCUCUCUUGGGCGUCACGAGAUUACUGAAGCAGUGCUGACAUCUCUAUCAGCCUGACCUAACACUCUGCCCCCCCCGCCCCCUCCUCUCCUCCUGCACGGCAGGAUCCAUCACACUCCAGCCUGAGCUUCUCACUCCGACAUACGAAAAAACUAAAUCAAUAAAGAGGAAAAUGGAAAAAUACAAAAAAGAAAAAAAAAAGAAAGUUAUUCUUUUCCUCUGCGGCAGCCAGCGCAUGAAAUAAACACUUAAAUGCUUCCAGCACUUGACGUUAAUUAAGACAAGAACAGAACGUCUCUCUUUCUAAACUUAAAGAGAUAUUUCAAGGAGGUAUUUUCAGGGCAUCCCAGUGGGUUCUCUUGGCUAAUGUGUUGCUGUGUCACGCUCAUCAAAUUCAUAAUUUAUUAUUACAGUCAGAUGCAGUGCAAUAGAAAUUAAAAUGUACUUUUGAUACUCUUAGGCACAACUCCCCCAAGAGAUUGUCCCCAUGCAGUACAUAUUGGAUCGACGCCAUUAAUCAUUUUUUGGUGCAAAAACUCAAAAUAAAGCUUUCUAUUAUUUUUGGGUUUGCGUGCUGCUCAAAUCUUACAAGGAAUUUUCUUCGGGCUUCAAGGCGACGACUGUGACGGCCACUCUAGAACCUUCCAGGACCUUUCCUGAAACCAAGCCUCGGUUGACUUUGAGGUAUUUUUGUCAAUGAUGCCUGAGCUUCAGCUUUUUUUCUCCUUGGAUUUCCUGAUUCUUGAUUGAAUCCAUCUCACUGCAGGCCGGGUUUUCUUCUCAGCAGAUGCUUCUUACUUCCUCCGCCAGACGUACAGCUGGGCCAAAAAGUUCCACAGAAUAGAAUCCCACAACUUCUAUAGCUUAUUAACAGGUUUGCAGCAUGUAGCCGGCUUCUCUUGAGGUGUGGGUCAGUAGUAGUGGAGUAUGAGAACUUAGCCAUAAACGUCAGUGCCUGUUGCCACCAAGUCUUGAUAUUGAAAACAGGUGAACAUUUGUACAUAUUUGCAACAUAGGUGGUGAUAAAUGUUGAGGACAACUGUAGCUUUUGAUGUAGUUUGAGAGUUAUUAAUGUGACAUAUGUAUGUCAGUAUCCAGGAAACGGCAAGUUGUGUUUUAGCUGUUUCCAUAUUUUUUAAAAGAGUAAAGUAGUGUGUAAUGCAUCAAAAUGUGUUGCUGUGCAUUGUAUUGUGACAUGUAUAUUGAGAUACCUUGCUGUCUUCUGUCCUCCUGACUGCUUCAUCCAGCAGAACAGUUUACCAAAUAAAGAACUGUCUUAGGGGAUGUGCUUAACAUAGUGAUGGACAAUUGAAGUUGAUUGUACACUUUAAUUUGCAUCUCAGUUCUUGUUGCGUAGAUUUAUUGUCUAACAGAUAUUUUCUUUUACUUUCAAAUGUUUCCUUUGAUGUACAGUAACAAGUAUAGUCACUAUUACCUUGGUGGAGUCCACCACAGCGGCACAUCUGAUCGACCUGUGUGUGUGUUUGUGUCUGAGCUCAGAUAACGUAAAACCUGAAUGGCUGCUGUGGAAACAAGGCAGACUACGUAGAUAUAAAUGCCUGAUGCAAACCGUACGGCGCAUACACUACACACAAGUGAUUAUUAUUGUAUUGCCUCAGUGCCAAAUAAUCUGCCAAAAUGUUUGUGGAUAGUUUUUUUUUCCUCAGUAACUUUUGAACCCGUGUUUGGUCUGUAAUUCUUUUGAUUACACCAUUGUGAUAAUGUGA